CGUUGCCGGUUGCAUUCAAAAGGCGCGUAGGUUCGUAGGUAUUCGACGUAUUAUAUUUAAUAUCUUAGACCAUGGUCUAAGUUUAAUAUAAUAUUGGUCGCGUUCACCAGAAUAAUCCGAGUGCAAUCCGAUUAAUUUGCGCUGAAACGCUGACAGUUUUUUUUACUAGUGAACGACUGACGUUUGACAUUCGAUUGAGAGUGUUCUGUGUUCCAUUUGUUUAUGUUUUUAUUCUUUGUUUAUAUAAUUUAUAACCUAUUUAGACAGUUUUGUUUUUAUUUUAAAUAAAACUGAAACUGUCUAAACUAAAAUGGAUAAUAUUCUUGAAGAACUUUUGUUUGGGGACGAAAUUAGCAAAUGCCGUUAUACAUUUAGCAGAUGUACCUACCUCAAAUUAUUCCAGAAGGAUGAGAUGAAAUUAAAUAUAUAUAAACCAUAAUUCAAUAUCCAAUUUAGAGAACAUUUUCGUAUGUCCAGAACUACUUUCCAGGAACUAUUUAAUUGUAUUGGUCAUAUCCACCAAUUUGAAAACAGAAUAAUUCUAUUGGAAAAAAUUAAUGUUUAUGAUGUGGAUGCUAAGUAAACCAGAUAAUUUGUUGCUGGGGAUACGUUUGGUUUGCCAAAGAGCUCUGGACAUAAGAUUUUCACCCAAAUAAUAUAGAAUUACAAAAAAUUGGAAAUAACUAAUCUUGAAUAUCAAUGUGUAUAUUGAGUUUAAUUUUAUUGUAAAUAUUCUAUAAUAUAAUUUUAUUGUAAAUAUUGUAUUAACACAUUUGUGGACACAUUUUCAUAUGCAGACAGUAAUUUCCCUUUGUAAGUACAUGCAUAUAUAGUCGUAUCUGCGAAUGGGUUAAUUGUAAAUCGUAAUCAAUAAAAAUUUUUUGUGAAUCAAUAAAAAACUGGUUUGUUUGAAAAUAAAUGUAGUACAAAUGUG